rnacentral:sRNA from 12 species
CGGGUAGACGAUACGGCCCCGACUGAAGUCCGUAUCACAACGUCAAAAAGGUAGUCUUAUG